UACUAAUACCGGAUACUCUUGCUUUAUAUAAGUUUUGCAAGCAAAGGUGGCCUCUGACAUAAGCUACUGCAUGAAGAGGGGUCUGCGUACCAUUAGCUUGUAGGUGGGGUAAUGGCCUACCUAGGCAACGAUGGUUAGCGGGUCUGAGAGGAUGAUCCGCCACACUGGCACUGGAACACGGGCCAGACUCCUACGGGAGGCAGCAGUGAGGAAUAUUGCGCAAUGGGGGCAACCCUGACGCAGCGACGCCGCGUGAGUGAGGAAGGCCUUCGGGUCGUAAAGCUCUGUCAAAGGGAAAGAAAUGUAUAAUGGCUAAUACCUGUUAUAUUUGACGGUACCCUUAAAGGAAGCACCGGCUAACUCCGUGCCAGCAGCCGCGGUAAUACGGAGGGUGCAAGCGUUGUUCGGAAUUACUGGGCGUAAAGGGCGCGUACGCGGUUUGAUAAGUCAGAUGUGAAAGCCCACGGCUUAACUGUGGAAGUGCAUUUGAUACUAUCAGACUUGAGUACCAGAGGGGAAAGUGGAAUUCCCGGUGUAGAGGUGAAAUUCGUAGAUAUCGGGAGGAAUACCGGUGGCGAAGGCGACUUUCUGGCUGGAUACUGACGCUGAGGCGCGAAAGCGUGGGGAGCAAACAGGAUUAGAUACCCUGGUAGUCCACGCUGUAAACGAUGUCCACUAGAUGUAGGGGGUGUUGAUCCCUUCUGUGUCGCAGCUAACGCAUUAAGUUGAC
rnacentral:rRNA from 1 species